CAAAUCCUCAAACAUUGUCUGUAAGACUCCUAACAAGUAACAAUGAAUUCUAAAUUGUUCAUUUUUGCCAUAUUAGCAGCUGCUUUGCUGGUAUCUAUAUCCGCAGCACCGGCAAUGAAGAAAGGAGACAUCGUAGUUGUUGUGGGUCGGAAGCGGCGCGACGUUAGUUGCUUUGAAGUUUCUGAUGGAUCUGUCGAACCAAACGGUCCUGGUUGCCAACAAAUUGAGGUUCGCAGAAAGCCAACGUAAUGCGGAAGUUGCGUGUUCACCAACGUUGCAAAUUUUGUCAGAGUACCUACUUCAGUAUGUAAUAGUUCGGCCCUUCGAUUUACUAUAAUAUAACAACCAACCUUAAUUGCAAAGUGUACCAAUACCAAUUUGUUGUAUUCUAUAAUACCUACCCUCUAAAUAAUAAAAAAUUUGAAAAAUGA